rnacentral:lncRNA from 1 species
GGAGAGAAGUGGUUAAGAUUUGAAACCGCCCGAGAGUCUUCGAAUUCUUGAAUCAGAGUUCGAUCCACCAUGGAGAAAGGAUGUUGGUCGAUACUCAAAAUGUCAAUUUUUACCAGAUAAGAGAAUUCACCACAAGUAAGAUCCAGAGAUACUGGGAUAGAUUGAGCAUCCACACAAUAGAUAAAAAGAAACACCACUUCACCGUCCAAGCCUAGAAUAGAGGAAGGAAGAACCUUUUGAAGAAGACCAAAACCAGCAAUCAUUCUUAGUAAGGAGACUCACAUUUCUACACACAAUUGGAACAUUGGAGCACCGAAUGAGAGCACGGUAGGAGAGAUUAACAUGAUGCCCACCAUCCUUAAUGGACCAGGGUCGGAUGGAGAAGGAGAAGUGGGGAGUUCUGAGAGGGCCUUUCCUCUGAGCCAGAAGGAUUUCACCUUUAUUUGGAAAAGGAACCAAGAAGCAAUUGAGUCCAAACGGAGGAGGUUGAGUUACUGACAGUUGAGACUUGAACCAGGGCCAUAGUCAAAGCCUCAGAGACCCAUUCCGAACCUCAGCAUCAAUGGGGAGGAAGGAAUGAUGCUUAAGAGGCCUUUCAGCCUCAGGAGAUGCAGGGUGCUUAAAAGCAAGGGGAAAGAGUGGGAACAUACCUUAUAGAGGAGUGCCCAUAGCAACCGCAAGAGAAACAUACCAGCCCAGUUCUGCAAUCUUUUUUGAAAUGUCCCGGAUCACCAUAGCGAAAGCAAGUGCCUUGAUGCGGGGAGCAUUUUAGGAAGGGGAGAAAUUCAGGCCUGAGAUGGAGAAAGAAGAGCGUCUUUGAAGCUUUUGAGAGGAGGCAUCCCAGAUCUGUUAGCUCCAAAAGAGGGCAGAGCACUACUGAACGGUGAGGGCCCCAAUAUUCC